CCUACGGGAGACUGCAGUGGGGAAUAUUGCACAAUGGGGUGAACCCUGAUUUAGCGACGCCGCGUUAGCUAGGAAGUAUUUCGGUAUGUAAAGCUCUAUCAGCAGGGACGACAAAAGACGGUACCUGACUAAGAAGCCCCGGCUAACUACGUGCCAGCAGCCGCGGUAAUACGUAGGGUGCAAGCAUUAUCCGGAUUUACUGGGUGUAAAGGGAGCGUAGACGGCAAGGCAAGCCAGAAGUGAAAGGGCAGGGCUCAACCCUGUACAUGCUUUUGGACCUGUGGUGCUAGAGUGCAGGAGAGGUAAGUGGAAUUCCGAGUGUAGCGGUGAAAUGCGUAGAUAUUAGGAGGAACACCAGUGGCGAAGGCGGCUUACUGGACUGUAACUGACGUUGAGGCUCGAAAGCGUGGGGAGCAAACAGGAUUAGAUACCCGAGUAGUC
rnacentral:rRNA from 1 species